rnacentral:rRNA from 2 species
AGAGUUUGAUCCUGGCUCAGGAUGAACGCUAGCGAUAGGCUUAACACAUGCAAGUCGAGGGGCAGCAUGGUCUUAGCUUGCUAAGACUGAUGGCGACCGGCGCACGGGUGCGUAACGCGUAUGCAACUUGCCUCACAGAGGGGGAUAACCCGUCGAAAGACGGACUAAUACCGCGUACACUCCAUCUUGGGCAUCCAAGGUAGAGGAAAUGAAAUUCGCUGUGAGAUAGGCAUGCGUCCCAUUAGCUAGUUGGUGAGGUAACGGCUCACCAAGGCGACGAUGGGUAGGGGAACUGAGAGGUUGAACCCCCACACUGGUACUGAGACACGGACCAGACUCCUACGGGAGGCAGCAGUGAGGAAUAUUGGUCAAUGGGCGAGAGCCUGAACCAGCCAAGUCGCGUGAAGGAUGACUGUCUUAUGGAUUGUAAACUUCUUUUAUACGGGAAUAACAAGAGCCACGUGUGGCUCCCUGCAUGUACCGUAUGAAUAAGCAUCGGCUAACUCCGUGCCAGCAGCCGCGGUAAUACGGAGGAUGCGAGCGUUAUCCGGAUUUAUUGGGUUUAAAGGGUGCGUAGGCGGCCUGUUAAGUCAGCGGUGAAAUCUAGGAGCUUAACUCCUAAAUUGCCAUUGAUACUGGCGGGCUUGAGUGUAGAUGAGGUAGGCGGAAUGCGUGGUGUAGCGGUGGAAUGCAUAGAUAUCACGCAGAACUCCGAUUGCGAAGGCAGCUUACUAAGGUACAACUGACGCUGAAGCACGAAAGCGUGGGUAUCAAACAGGAUUAGAUACCCUGGUAGUCCACGCAGUAAACGAUGAUAACUGGGCGUAUGCGAUAUACAGUAUGCUCCUAAGCGAAAGCGUUAAGUUAUCCACCUGGGGAGUACGCCGGCAACGGUGAAACUCAAAGGAAUUGACGGGGGCCCG